rnacentral:rRNA from 1 species
UACGUAGGGGGCAAGCGUUGUCCGGAAUCAUUGGGCGUAAAGAGCGUGUAGGCGGCCUGGUAAGUCCGCUGUGAAAGUCCAGGGCUCAACCCUGGAAUGCCGGUGGAAACUGUCAGGCUCGAGUCCGGAAGAGGUGAGUGGAAUUCCUGGUGUAGCGGUGAAAUGCGCAGAUAUCAGGAAGAACACCCGUGGCGAAGGCGGCUCUCUGGGACGGUACUGACGCUGAGACGCGAAAGCGUGGGGAGCAAACAGG